rnacentral:lncRNA from 1 species
GUCCUCCGCCGCCCGCCGCCCGUCCCUUCGGAAGCGCCGAUUCCUCGGGGAGGAGGAGGCGUGAGGGGAGGCGGCGGAGGCAGCCGGCACGGGGCGCUCGGGCCGCGGGGCAGGGGGCGCGGGGUGCCUCCUCGGCCUCGGCUCUCCCCGCCCCGGGGCGCCCCGAGACCGCCGCCUGCCUCCGCGGGCAGCUUUGUUCUUCUUUCCUCCAACUACCUGUCUGAGCCGCGGGCCCCAGAGGCCCCAAAGAGAGGCCCGGAGGGUCUCCCCAGCAGCAUCCGAGGGGCGCUCUCGGGGAGCUAGGGGCCAGAGUCCGCGGUCCCUCCGUGCCUGCCUCCCUCCCCUCGUGCCUCGGUCUUUUGUUGCCUCUACUCCUCGGCACGGCGCAGCCUGGGCUCUCUUCCCCCUCCCGCUUGGGAGUUUGCAGUGUGGACGCUCGGCAAGCACAGUUGGGAAGCCAGAUAUCCACAUUAUCUCACAUCACAUCACUGAGCUCUGUGGCCCAGUUCUGACUACAUGUUAGAAGCAGAAGUCUGCAGGGGAUGGCUUCUGAGAAAACUUGUAUUUAUUAUUUAAAUUUAACCUUCUAGCCUGGGAAUAAAUUCCAGCUUGCUUAGAACAAUACAGCACAGAAGAGAGCCUGAGUUCCUGGUGCAUCCCUGUGCCAGUGUCUCAAUCCUGCCCCACCGAUUUCCAAUUUCUUAUUAUGUGAAAAGCAACCCUCCCUUCUUUGAUUAAGUCAUUAUUGAUAGGGUUUUUUUGGUGACUUGCAUCCAAAUGCAUUCCUUAACUCAAACAAAAUAGAAGGGGAAUUCCACAUUCACACUGUUGCAUCAGACAAGCUCUGGCUUCUCAGAACUUUAGUUUUCCAUUUACUAGAGCUCAGAAUCAAAGAGACAGUAAAGAAACCCAUUUAAAAAUUGCUUGGCAUAUAUAUCUUGGGUGAUGGGACUUCAUGGGUAAUAUUUUUAAAAUUUCUUUGUGUAUUUUUCUUUUAUUGUCAAACGUUAUUAAAGAGACCAUAGAUACCUUUUGUAAUUAUAAUAAAAAACAAAAUGUUACUAAGAACAGUGAGAACUCUUAAGCUAACUACAAGAUAAUUAAUAUAUAACUGCAAAAUAUAAAAUACCAAAGCCAUUUUCAAAUAAAGAAACAGAGCCACAUGAAACUUUGCAGUUUAGCCAAAGUCAUUUCAGGAUUCUGAAGCUGGGGAGGAAGCAAGGCUUACUUAGCCCGUGGCUAGAAUUCACUUUUGAAAACUCCAUUUUUGUCCAUUCCCUCUUAUCACUACUUGCUUGCAAGUUAGGAAACAAAUUAGAACAAAAGCAUUGUUUGUCGUCAGUGGUCAAUGUUCAUUGCUUUACCAGAGGCUCGGGAUUAGAAGAUUCUCAGAACCAGUUAGCUCCUGAUACAAUCGGGCCUUGAUAUGGUUUGGAUUUGUGUCCCCACCCAAAUCUCAUGUCGAAUUAGAGGAGGGGCCUGGUGGGAGGUGAUUGGAUCAUGGGGGCAGAUUUCCCUCUUGCUGUUCUCAUGAUAGUGACUGAGUUCUCAAAGAUCUUAGGGUUUAAAACUUUUGUGGCACUUCCAUCUUCGCUCUCUCUUCCUCUCUCAUGCUGCCAUGUGAAGAAGGUGCCUGCUUCCCCUUUGCUUUCUGCCAUGAUUGUACGUUUCCUGAGGCCUCCCAGUUGUGCUUCCUGAUAAGCCUAUGGAACUGUGAGUCAAUUAAAUCUCUUUUCUAUAUAAAUAACCCAGUCUCAGGUAGUUCUUUAUAGUAGUGUACAAAUAGACUAAUACAGGCCUGAAAUAAGUUGACAUCUAAAAGCCACCUGAAUUAUUUCUGGGAAUAGACUGAGGUACUUUCUGUUUUAAAAUUCUUGGCUUUUGUUACCCAGCCAAACUGGGGCCUGCUUGCCCAGUGCAGUAAGGCCAAACAUGCACACUGAGUUUAUGCAGUGGGAGAAAAGAAGGUGUUUUAUUUGCAGAGUGCCAAGCAAGGAGAAUACAGCAGCUCACACUUAAGACUCAAACUCCCCAAUGGCUUGCAGGUAAGGGUUUUUAACAGAAGGGAUAAAUUUCAGGAAAACAAAUUAUAGGCAAAAUCAUAAAUCAAUAUAUGGAAGUUAUACAUUGGUUUGGCCUAAAAAGGCAGAAUAUCUUGAAGUGGGGUCUUACAGGUCAUAGACAGAUUCAAAGAUUUUCUGAUUUGCAAUUGGUUAAAGAAGGGAAUCUUUGUCUAAAGACUUGGAAUCAGCAGAAAAGAAUAUGAGAUCUGACUCGUGGUUGUUGCUUCCUCCACGCCCCUCAGAAAGAAACUUCGAACAACGCAUGGCAGUCAGAGUUCAGUCUACAGCCCCCCGUCAUCUGAGGUCUCCGUGCCAGUGGGUCCAUUUGGUGGGGGUCUGAGUUUCUGAAAACUCAGGGACAUAUAUUAUAACAUUAUCUUCACUUUCUCGAGGGAACCAAUGUCUCCUGAUUCUAGCUUCCUUGGCUAUUGUUUUAAGCUACUGUUACCUUCUCACUUACCAAGUUGCUCAUUUACUUCUUAGGAAUAGCUAGGUGCCUGGAAUUUCCCUUGAAGGAACUCAAGAUUUUCCUUUGAAAGCAGGGGUCCCUGCUUCAUCUCAGUUUCAUAAUAAAAGAAUCGAAGAUAACAAAUAUACACCAUGGAUACAACCUCAGUACCAAGCUUAGCAUGAAGUGGGAAUUCAAAAAUAAUAAUUAACAGUGUCAUCUAUUAAGACAAAACAUUUUGAGACAAUUAUGGAUUCACCCAUAAUUCCAGUAUGUCCUUUUUUUUUAAAGAAGUCUUUUAUAGUCGUGUUCUAUGGAGUUCUUUUCACAGCUUAAUUUUCUUCAAAUCAUUAUUAUUUCUCCUUCUUGUUUUCUUCAGUUUCAGUGCCAGUUAAAAGAAGUUGUACUCUAGCUAGUUUGAUUUUUUAAGUAGAUGCAGAGCUAAAUUUUUGCCUCAGGAUACAUUUUCCAAAUUCUCCUCCACCUCCUCAGUUUCCACCUCCUGUUAAAAGCACCUCCAUCAACCCUCACUUAGACAUUGCCUACUUGGGGGUUUUUGUCUUACCUUUGCAUUGAUCGCAUGAUUCCUGAGGACAAGGAUUCUGAGCUCUCUCAGAGGGCAAAGUACAUUGAGUUUGUUGCUUGUCUUAGGCAACAUUUUAAAGUAGGAGAAUAUAGAGCUCUCCUCUGAUGUCUGCAGCCUUCCCGGUUUUACCCCAUAAUUCUAAAACAAGAAUAGUAAAAAUCCCACCUCUCAUCCACUUGGGUCUGACUCUAUAGGACUUCUUAGGUGUUAUCCAGGUAAUUUGAUCAAUUAAUUAUAUUAAGAGGAAUCUUCUGGAAGCUGCUCCUAGAAGACUUGCCAAGCUCUCCCACAGACAAUGGCCUCCACCUUCUCCUUUUGUUAUCUAACCCCCAAGCGACUCAAGGGAUCUGAAUUUCAGAGUGAGUAGUGGUGGGGUCAGGCUGGUGGGGAACCUAUUUGAAAUGUUUGCACCGGCUUCCUGCCCAAUGGGUCGAAAGAGCUAUUUGAAUUUUGUGGCAAAAAAAAUUCUGUAUGCCUAAAAGAUGCCAGAUGGAGAAGGAAGUGGUGUGUUUAGCCACAGGAGAGAUACUGCAUGGAUAAUAGGUUCUCUACCCGCUUUUUGUCAACGUCAACAUCAGCUUGUCAGUCUGUUAGGUCGAUCAUAUGUAAGAAUAAUUCUCAGCAUUCAUCAACUGCUGAGACCUUCCCAAACCUAAUUUUAUUCUCAAGACAAACCUGUCAAUGAGGUUUUAUUGAUUGUUUCCAUCAUACACAUGGAGAAAUGGAGGCAGAGGUUUAGAGAGAAAAACAUGAGUCAGAGUGGGAAGGGAAUUAACCCAGGGGACAGUCUCUAUAGUUCUUCCCUCUGAGUUUGCUACAAAAAUAUUAUUUAUAAAUCAUUUGAAAUGGUGAUAACACUGAGCCCGCCAAUUCAAUCAAGAAACAGCCUCUAUGUUGUAGCUCCAUUUAUUUUUCACUGGCCAGAGGUAGUGCUGAGGUAACAAUUGUAAAGGUGAGAAGUCACAACUUCUAUUACGGAUAUCUAGGGAUACCUACUGAGGACGACUUGCCUGAGAGCUUAUGCUCCCAGCAUUGGUGAGAAGUGCUUUCUCCUUGCUGGCUUUGAGCCACUUCCCAGAGGAGUUCCUGCUCCUCUGUUUAGAAAUUGCAGAGUGGGUGUGGGCGUGCCAUGUUUCUUAAGUUGCCUAAGACCCAAAAGGUUAUUUUUAAAAAUGUAAAUAUACACCCAAACUCAUUGAAAUAAUGGUAAUGGGAAGAUUGAGCUGAAGACCGUGAUUGAGAAAUGCACGUUACCAUGGUAAUAACAGGGUGGGCAAGGCUAACUCUGGCCCUUCCACAUUUAUUUUAAACCAGUAGUUCUCAAAUAGUAGCGUGCAUCGGAAUACCCUAGAGGGCUUGUUAAGAAACAAGUUACCAGCCCCACCCCCAGACUUUCUAAUUUAGUAGAUCUGGAGUGGGCCUUAUAAUUUGCAUUUCUAACCAGUUCCCAGGUCUAGCCCUAGGGCCAAAUCCAUGUUUUCACCUGUUUUUGUAAGGUCUGCAAAUUAGUAAUAGUUUUUACAGAUGAACCUUUGCAAAUGAUUCCAUGAUAGGCAACACUAAUUUUGAACCCCAAUUAAGCAAAAUUCUGUCCCCCCUCACAAUUACAUUCUUUUCAUUAGUAGACCUGCAUUACACAAAAAUUGUACCCAAUAUUACAGUUUGAAUUUCAUCAAUGAAAACUUAGUGGAAUUUUGUUUUUCUCCCUUGUUAUAUAAUAACUACCCAGAUAAGAUGCUCAAUUUUGUUUCUUGGCCCACAAAGCCUAAAGUAUUUAUUCUCUAGACUGUUAAAGAAAAAAUUGCAGACCCCUGGCUUAACUGAUGCUGCUGAUGUGGGGAUGACUUUGAGAACCACGUAAGCCAUUUGCUAAGCUAAGUGUAGUAAACCCUCCUUCCACUGAUUUAAUACAAUUCCACGGGCCCAACUGUCCUGGACUAUCACACAAUGCCGAGAGAGAGGCACCACCCCUCAACCUACAAUGUUCCCCUCCAGGGAGCGAAGCUGCGGAGUCUAAAAACGUGAGGCAGUGGCUCAGCGUAGAGAAAGGAUAUUCCAAAACAUCUAAUGGGCACAACUGUAAGGGAAGUAACAUUUGUUUUGGGUGUUGUCCCACCUCUCAUUCUAAGCUGUUCCCAUCCCAGAUGCUGGGGACUCUGGGGAUUCUCUGACUCUGCAAUGUCCCCAACUCCUGCUCUCCAGUCAGACCUGCACCAUUGCAUCUGCAGCUAGCUCUGCAGUCAUGCCCCAAGUAAAUGCUGGUUAAGUAAUCUGAUUAUAAUCUUAGAAUUUAUAAGUCUGUGAUUUAUAUCAAAUAUUCAUGGUGUAUAUGACAGCUUCCUUUGUCAUAUGAUAUAGAAAUAUCUGUUACAUUAUAUAGAAAUUAGUGCACUGAAAAAAGUUUACUUUUUAAAAAAUCUUGACUAUUUUUGUCCCCACUCUUUAAUUCUGCUGUCAUUAGGAGAUUCUCAUAUUUAAAAGUGCUCAAAGCAAGGUAUUCUGUUGUAGCCUGUCUUGAAGGAGUACCACCUGUCUUCAGCCUGCUAAUGAAAAUUGGAAUUCUCUGAGGAAAGCUCUGUCAUCUAGAAUCUUCUGACCAGUGGAUGAGUCAGCUCAGGGCCUCUUCUCUGCAUCUUCCUUGGACUCGGACUGUGGGAAGCCCUGUGGAAAGCAGGAUGAUCUAACAGCAGGAUAAAGAUUGUUUUUGUUAUCAUGUCCCAUGGCUAAAAAUUACCCACUGCUUUUCCUUCUUAAACUGGGAUCCUCAACUUGGAAUCUCUGGCUAUUAAUAAAGUCUGGAGAGAGCAAUAGAGUGCAUUGGUUAGGACCUCAAGCAUCAGCAGACCUAAAUCUGAGUUAUCACUUUAUCACUAACUGUGAGAGCUUGGACACAAUGCUUGCCAUCUCUUCACACCAUCCACUCACAUGUGCAAUGGUGUAAAAAUCACAACUACUCAGAGGUAGUUGUAAGGAUGAAAAUAGAUAAUGUGCAAAGUCCGUAGAACAGUGUGUGGCAUGCAGCUUAGUGAGGGCUCCACAAAUUGUAGGUUUGGUAUUAUUUUGCAUAAGCACUCUAUUAGGCAGAAGCUGAUCGUUUAUAUAUCUGAGCUACCCACUAAACUUAUUCAUCCAUUGUCUUAUUCAUUUAUUCAUUUGAUAAACAUUUUUGAACACCUGUUGUGAGCCAAGCACCUUCCGGGAUUUGGGGAUACAGUGUGACCAAGCCAGGUGAGACCCCAGCCUCCUCAGAGCUCAUUUUGGUAGACUCUGAGCUCCUAGAGAGGGAGAUCCCAUCCCUGUAUCUCACAUAGAGCCUAGCACAGCACUAUACCCAGAAGAGAUCCUUUCAAAAUGCUGUUAAAGAAUGACUGGGUAAGUGACACGCCUAAAAAGUGGGGAGAAAAGUCAGGUGUGGUUGCUUCCCCUCUGCUGUUACUGGGACUCAGCUACCGUUAGGAGUAGCCCCUCUAAUAUACGCAGAUGGACCAAGACCGAAGCUGACCAUCCUGAGUUCUGUGCCAGGAACUCCUUCCCAGGGAGCACAGAAGGAAAGUGCUGGGCCCUGGAGAGAUGCCAGUCACUCCGACAAUGGUCUUCAUCUUAAUUGCAGUAUGUAAUUCAGCACUAGGUUCCAAGUGGCAGCCACACUGAGGUUGUUUUCCCACAUAACUCAAUGUUCUUUUCAUUGCCAUGGUAUAUGAGCAAACUGUUCAGCUGUGAGUGAGUUCAGGGGAAGGAAAUAUAAGAUUAGACUGCCAUGCGUACUGAAAGGCAGAAAAGCUUCCAUAUUAUGGAGCAAUAAAUUAAGGAAUAAUCACGAAAAUGUUACAGAUAAUUCACAUCAAUCAAGUAACUUACAGUUACUUUAUUAUUUUAGAUUAUAUUCAUGAUUAUUAUUUAAUGUGUUUUUAAUAUGAAUGUACAGCUUUAUGUAAUCCUUUUGUAAUUGAGAAGGAAUUAGAGGUCCAAGUGCUCUGAAAUACUUUCUUUUUUUCAAUUGCCCAACAUUUAGAAGACUCCUGUUUUACAGCUAAUGCCAAUUAUUCCACAUAGACAUACACUUUUUAUCUCUUUAUUGCAUGUCGGGAUAACUAAAAUCUAUCAGAUUUAAAGUUUAAGUUUUAUGGCCAAAGUCAUAUUUCUAUUUCUGCAUGAGUCUAACUAAUGCUCAUGGAUCCACAGUCCCUACCAGAGGAAUUCAUCAUUAGUCAAUCAACAAAUAUUCCUUGGGGAGCCGCCUUGUGCAAGGUAUGAGAAUGGAGCCUUGGAGCUAGAUACACAAAAAAAUCACAGAGCUUUGUCCUUGAUCUCUAGACACUUUUAGUUUUGUUUGGAAAAUAAGACAUAUAGGCAUGGGAUGACAAUUAAAAAUAUAAGGCAAUAAAUGUUGAAUGUCAAAUGAUAGCAUCAGAAACAGUUGCUGUGGAAGUCCACAGGCAACAGCAGUCUGGGGUCAUAUUUGGUUGUGGAAGCCUUGCCCACUGAAUGUUGUUUGUUUCACAAAAGGUUGCCUGAUGAAAUGGGAGAAAAGUGGGGUAAGUCAUAUUCCCUUGCUACUUGAGUGUGAUUUGAGAGCUAGCAACUUCAGCAACACCUGGGAGCCUGUUAGACCUGCAGAAUCUCAAGCACGACCCAGGACUGACUGAGUCAGAAUCUGCAUUUCAACAAGAUCCCCAGUGAUUGUGCAUUAAGGUCUCAGAAGCACUGGCCUAUCCUGCAGAUUCGUAAGUCACUUGUCUUUUUUGAAACAGCGUCUCUCUCAGUCACCCAGGCCCCAGUGCAGUGGCGUGAUCAUAGCUCACUGCAGCCUGAAACUCCGGGGCUCAAGCGAUCCUCCUGCCUCAGCCUCCAGAGUUGCAGGGAUUACAGGCAUGAGCCACCAUGCCCAGCCACUUUUCUUGUUUGAUGGAAAGUUAGACUCAUACUUGCUAAUCUCAUUCUCACUCCAAUAAAAAAUAAGGCAAUUAAAGGAAACCAUUCAUUCAACAAAACUUUGUGUACCUUCUUGUGCUAGAAACUUUGUUCCAGUCACACACUAAAUAUAUACAAGUACCCAAAGACAGUUUUGGAUAUUCAGUACUAGUGACUUCAUACUGAUGGCUCUGAGGCCUAAGGGUCAAACAGAUUUGUAAUACUCAGGGGUGUCUCCUUCAUCAACUAGCAAACCUGGGUCAUCCCCAGAAGUGGGGUAAAUUUGUUAGAAACUCCUAUGGGCCAGGCUCAGUGGCUCACACUUGUAAUCCCAGUACUUUGGGAGGCCAAAGCAGGUGGAUCAUCUGAGGUCAGGAGUUCAAGACCAGCCUGGCCAACAUGGUGAAACCCGGUCUCUACUAAAAAUACAAAAAAACCCAAAAAGAAAUAGCUGGGCGUGGUAGUGGGUGCCUGUAAUCCCAGCUACUCGGGAGGCUGAGGCAGGAGAAUCGCUUGAACCCUGGAGGCAGAGGUUGCGGUGAGCUGAAACUGCUCCAUUGCACUCCAGCCUGGGCAACAAGAGCAAACCUCCAUCUCAAACAAACAAAUCUCCUAUGGCGACAGAGUGAUGCCCAGGGAAGGUGGAACUCUGUGCCGAAACAAUGUUAGUUUUGCAUUUGGUGUCCUACUGUCCUGACUGUCUAUUCAGCAAUCUAUUUGACAUUUCAACCUCUGUGUCUAACAGGCUUCUUAAUAAUAAACAUCCAAAAGAGAAGUGUUAACUUUCUCCCGCAAAUCUGUUUUGCCCCGAUCUUCCUCUUCUUCAUAAAUGAGACUACCAUCUGCCAUGUUGAUAAGCCAAAACUUAAAACUCAUUCUGAAGUCUUCAUCUGUCCUACCCACCACAUGUAAUCCAGGAGCACUCCCUGUCCAUUCCACCUUCAGACUAGGAUGCUGGCUAUGUCCCCGUCGGGUCGUCUCCAUGGGCACUAUCGGCCGUCUUGCCUGGGGGAUUGUGCUGGCCACCUACGGGGUCUUCCUGUCUCCACCCUUGCUCGUGUCCAAGCUCAUCUCCAUACAGCAGCCAGAAUGGUCGUAGACAAAUGUCAGUCUCUCCAUGUCAUUCCUCUGCUUGAAACUUUAAUGAUUUCUUAUUUAUCUUCAAAUAAAACUGAAAUGAUCAGGCUCUGUUUGAUUGGUCCUGUUGUUUCUUCCUCUUCCCCUGUUGCCCACCAUCCUCCACCAAACUGACAUUUUAAAUUAUUCCUUCAACAUCCUCAUGUCUUUUCUGCCUCAGGAUCUUUGCAUCUGUUACUUGGAAUGGUCUAGAACUGUCUAGAGCGGUCUGCCUGACUCUUCACAUGGUUGCCUUUUGAUCUUUCAGAGCUCAGAGUAGCUGUGCUGACUUAGAGAGGCCUUCCCUGAAGUUCAUCUAGCAGGCAACCCCAGCGUUCUGAUGUACUUCGUGGCUCUGAUGCCAACUACCAAUCACAUGAAGGGCUGAGACUUCAUCUCUCUUGUUCAUUUCUAUUUCCCCAGCACACAGUGUGCUCCAUACAAAUAUGUGACUGAAUGAAAGUGUAGUUCUGGAUUUGUGUGGCUUGAUAAUGUUUUUCCUUUUUCAGUGUAAAUCUGAAAUACUUUUUAAUUCAAUUAACCAAGUUUUAGAAUAAUGCUGCUAUGCAGUUAACAGAGAUUAUUAACACAGGAAUACACAUUCUACCUCUGUAUUUCAUACAGGUAAAACAAUGAGCCAGAUGGAAUUUGAAUAUAGGUGCCUCUAGCCAGCUGAUCAUAUGGAGGACAGAGCUCAUGCCCAGCACACAGCAGUCUCUGCAGUGUAGUCAAGCUUGCCACCAGAUCCACUCAGACAGCACUGUAGCCACUUGGGUAGGGAGGAGUCUCCUCAAUGGGCCUCUCUGGGUGUAGUGGAAGUAAGAGAGCCCUCUGAGUCCCUACGCCCUGACAGGAAGUACAGAUGAAUCCUUACUUAAACAGAGAGGAGAUCACUCCACUUUCCUUAAGUGGUUUAGAUUGUUGGUUCCUUUUGAACUCUAAGGAAUUGGGCAAUGUUUUAAAAAAUUAUAAACUACCUGUUUCCAUGUCCAACACAAUACUGAAGAGUCUCAUGCUUGGUGAUUGUGGGUGUGGCAGGUAGAAUAAUUCCAAUGACAUCUGCAUCCUAAUCCCCGCCCCUGCCUCAAUCUGGAAUGGGAUCCCUUGCAAGGCAGACAUGGUGAAAGACCUGAGAUCGGGAGGUUAUCCUGGAUUCUCUGGUGGUCCUAGUGUCAUCACAAGGACUCAAUGUCAUCACAAGGGUCUCUAAAGAAGUCAGAGCAGGAGAAGUAAUGACAAAAGCAGAGUGUCAGAGUCAGAUCGAGGCUUGAAAAUGUUACACUGCUGGUUUUAAAGAUGGAAGGAAGUCAUGAGCCAAGGAAAGCUACAGUUUUCCUUGAUGACCCUCCCACCUUAGCCUCCUGAGUAGCUGGGACUACAGAUCCCAGCUCACUUGAGCCUGGGAUAUCGAGGCUGCAGUGAGCUAUGUCUGUGCCACUGCACUCUAGUCUGGGCAAAAGAGUGAGACUCACAAAAAGGAAAAAAUGACCAUUUUAUGUAGUUUUCUAGAAGAUAAUGAAGAAUCCGUCUGUGGGACUUGAUUCCUGUUUUCUUCCUGGAAAAUGGUGUGGAGUGAUAGAUGGAUGGUUUAUUGCAGUUAGAAAAAACUGCUCCUGCUUUCCUACCACCUUGUGAGCAUAGCUGUGGAAAGGGGAAUUCUCAGCAAGCGUCAGAGCUCAGUGCUUAUGAUACAGUGAGAGCUAUAGCUGACAUUUAAAUACUUUUUCAUUUUUCAUUUUAAACCACCCUGUAAGCAUUCACUAAUUAAUCCUCAUCAGGCACUGAUGUGAAAGAAUUACCUUCAAUAUUCUGCAGAUGAAAAUAGUUCAUGCAGUACUUCAGAAAGUUCACCUGAUGAUGGAAAGGAGGAAAUGUGUCUCUUGCCACACCUACUGCUGUAUUUUAAAGCAGUCGUUCUCAAGAGGGACCUGGUGCUAUCAAAAGGCACCUAUGUAACCAUACAUAUGAAUACGUCAAGUGGAUACUGCUUCCCGCUGUCCGUGCAGCAGCAUCAUCAUCACAGUGCACACUUGAUCCACAUGCUGUGUGCCACACACGUGCAUGCCCUAUACCCCCAUUACACCCUCCUCUCUCCCUUCAGAAGCUCCCACUCUAGGCCAAGCCCCAUCAUUUCUCCCCUGGGCUAAGGCAGUGAACCCCUGAUAGAUCUGCCUUCUCCCUUGCCCCCAACAGUCUCUCCUAGCAGCAGCCAGAGUGAUCUUGUAAAAACUUAAAUCAGAUCAAUGCCACUCUUCUGCUUCAAUCCUAUCAUGAUUUUUCAUUUCCCUUACAGUAAAGUUUCUUCUUCUUACCUUGACUUCUGUUAUGAACUGAUCAUUUAUGUCCCCCCAGAAUUCCUAUGUUGAAACCUAACCCCCAGUGUGAAGGUAUUAGGAGAUGGAUGGGGCCUUUGGGGGUUGAAUAGGUUGUGAGAGUGGAGCCCUCAUGAAUGGGAUUAGUGCCCUCAUAAAUAGAGUCCAGAGAUCUCCCAUGCUUCUCUUUCUGCCAUGUGAGACUACAACAAGAAGACGACAGUCUACAACCUGGAAGAAAGCCCUCACUGGAACCUGACCAUGCUGGGACCCGAUCUUAGACUCCAGCCUCCAGCACUGCCUAUACUCACCUCCAGACCUUUGCACUUGAUACUCCUCUGGUCUUCCCAUGACAGCUCCUUCACUUCUCAGCUCAGACGUCAGCUCCACAGAGAGGCCUCUCCUAACAAUCCCAUCUACAGGGACUGGGUAUCUAAUGUUUUACUGAAGCACUGUUUGCAGAAAGCCUAGCGGGCUCAGAAAACCAGCCAUGCCAUGGUGGGAAGAAAGCCUUGCUGAGAUCCUGUGGCUGAAAACCAUCAUGGGCUUUUGCUUUCAGACUGCCCAUUGCCAACCGAUGCAGGCCCAGAGAAGCAAGGAGGAGUGCUGUUCUGGGAAGGCGGUGGGCACAUAGAUGGAGCUAGACUUGCGACUUCAGGCCCUCAGCAGCCACAUGAUCUUGCAGCUGUGGGCCAUGCACCUGCUUCUUGGGCCCAUGAUUAACCAGAUGUUCAGCUCCUUAAAGACAGACUUCGGGGCCCUUGGCUGGCAGGGGAUGCAAUCUGCAGAUGAGAAGCUCUGAGAAGCAGUUCUCAAAGCCAGGAUCCAGAGGCUCAGCCAUGUGAGUUUCCUGUGAGAGGGAAAAGGCAGGAGCAUAGAGGCCACUGAAGUUGUUCUCAAAAGCCCCAAGAUACCUUUGGUCUCAGUGGAGGCAUCCAGGACACAGCUGUCUUCACUUCUUCACUCAGUCAUUUAGAAAUUGUUCAGUGAGCACCCACCCUGUAUAAUUCACUGCUGCUGCAGCUGAGCUCAACAUGGUGUCAUCUAGGGGAGGAGCUUGAAGAGGUUGUGUUAAGGAAGAACCACGAGAGGAGUGCCCAGUUGGAUGUGACCCCGGAUGUGUAGGCAUCCAGGAGGCUGAAAGAAGGCUGACCCAGGGCCUGAUCACUUGACAAUGGACAUGCUACCUCACAGAGCAUAACACCACAACUAACACAUCCUGAGCCCUCAAUCAAUGUUGUGCAAUAAAGGAAUAAACCUGGAUGUCUUUCCUGUAACCAAACAUUGGACUAUUCAUCAACUGUGCACUUUUUGUUCCCCAACGAGCACAAGGGUUUGGACUGCACCAUCCCCACUCUUUCUUGACUCUCUCUGUACACCAUAAAUGCAUGGUUCAGGGUGAUUUUGCUGGGCAAGGGUGAUGGUUUGACUAUUUGUGUCCCUCCAAAAUUCAUGUUGACACUUAAUGCCCAUUGUGGUGGUAUUAAGAGGUAGAGACUUUCGGGAAGUGAGUAAGUCACGAGGCCUCUUUAUAAAAGAAGCUUCAGGCCAGGUGCAGUGGCUUAUGCAUGUAAUCCCAGUACUUUGACAGGCUGAGAUGAGAGGAUCAUUGAGCCUAGGAUUUCAAAACUAGCCUGGGCAACAUAAUGAGACCCUAUCUCUAUUAAAAGUAAAACAUUAGCUGGGCAUGGUGCGGUGCACCUGUAGUCUCAGCUACUUUGGAAGCUGAGGCAGGAGGAUCACUUGAGCCCAGGAGGUUGAGGCUGCAGUGAGCUAUGAUUGCACCACCGCACUUCGGCCUAGGCAACAGCGUGAGACCUUGUCACACACACACACACACACACACACACACACAAUAGUUUCAGACAAUAGCCUGGCCUGGCCUUCCCAUCUCUUCUGCUGUGAAAACACAACAUGCAUCCCUUUUUGCCUCUUCAGCACAUGAGGAUAUAGCAAAAAGGCCCAGGCCCUCAACAGGCACUGAAUCUGCUGGUACCUUGAUCUUGGACUUCAGAGCCUCCAGAACCAUAAGAAAUAAAUUUCUAUUCUUUAUAAAUUACUGAAUCUGUGGCAUUUUGUUACAGCAGCACAAACAGACUAGGACAGGGAGGUUGGGAGUGCACCGUGUGAUGUGUCUUUGCAAAGUCUACCCUGUACCAAGCUGACUGGCCCUAUGGGAUUUGUUAGCAACUAGCUGGGCCAGAUCAUUAGAAAACAAUUUGAAAUGCAGAAUGAGGAAUGGUGGCAAAUUUGGCUAUUUUUCUCAGGGUUUUGUUCAGCACCAUUUGCUGCCAUGCUACCAGCAUAGUGGUUUGUGUGGCCUGUACAUCCAGAAUACCUGGGUUCAAAUCCUGCUCCCUGCCUGUGUGAUCUUGAGCAGGUGAUAUGAGCUGCCUGUGCCAAGUUCCGCAUCUGUAAAGUGAGGGUGGUAAAAGGACCUACCUCGUAGAGUUGCUAUGAGAAUGAAGUAAGUUGGCGGGUGAAAAGGUGGUGAAUAUUCGUAUUAUUGAUGUUAUUAUCACUGUAAGCAGCAGUGGCAGCAGCUGCCAAGCCUCACAUUCCAACCUGAGAAUUUCCAAGAGAAGGCAGAUGAUCUUGUAAAACUCCAGGAAGUCACAUCUCUGAUUUCCAGCCCUCCUGUCUACAGAGCCAAACCUUUCCGCAGAACUCUCCCUGCUACCAUAAAAUGCUGCCUCCACAGAGGGAACCCUCCCCAGGCACAAGGCAGAUGGUUGCUCCGUUCCAUGUGGCCCCUCACUGCAGUGCAGUGAUGAUGUUUGGGCUGAGCAAAAGACUUCAGUGCUCAGAGGAGAAGGAGCAGGAGGCUUUGCCAGCUUCCAUUUGCAUGAGAAAAGAACUGAGAGGAGAGGGGAGAAGGGGGAAGAUGCUUGCUUCCUCCUUCCAUCUUGGCAUUCACAGAGCAGGCUGCAUUUGAACACUGCCGUGCUAUGUACAUUGGAUCCAUGCAAUGUUACAUAAGUAUUUCAUAAGGGACAAGGUGACUUUGUGUUUUUUUCACCUGUUCUUCUCCUCUGAUCCCAGAAGCUGGGAAGUAGGCUGGAUGCAGAGAAAAGAGCAUUGUUCUCAAGUCUGCUUCACUGCUUAAAGACUAAGAAGGAAAAAAAAUAGAAAGGAAAACAAGAAUCAUUGUCUCUUUUGUUUUCUCUUUAAAAUAUAAAAGGAACUCUGAAACCAAAGUUCGGAUGACAUCGUAUGACAUUUUCCUUUCCACAUGGAAAAAUUUUGAAUAAAAGAUCUGUUUUCUGGGUUGACACUUCUGGGCUCUUUCAAUCUCCAGUAGCAGCAAACUGCUGUCAUUUCUGGAAAUAAGGAUGGCAAGACUCAGGGGGUUAAUCUGCCUGAUUUUGCUCUCCAAGGGUGACAGCGUAAAGCUCUUUGGCUCUGCAUCCACAGUAAUAGCUGAGGGCAGCGCUGCCCAACAGAACUUUCUGUGGUGAUGGAAGCCUUCUCUAAUCUGUGCUGCACAUCUGGCAGCCACGAGCCACACGUGGCUAUUGAGCGCUGGAAGUGGGGCUGCUGUGACUGUGGAACUGAGUUAACUUCACUGUUAAUUUAAAUUUAAAUGGCCACGUGUGGUCUGUGGCUACAGUAUUGGCAGGUGCAUGAGAGCAAUAGCAAAACAAACUGUAAGUAGCAUCCACAGAUGUUGACUGAAUGCAUCACACAGAUAAGAUGGAAAAGGAAGAGCCUAAAAGUUCUGAAGAGUGAUGUUCCCCUUCCACAGGAGCAGUUUAUGUGUCAGUGGCAAUGAUGUUUUAUGAAUAUUUGGGAUGACCAUUUUCUGUUUCAUCUUUCAGCUGUGGGAGUAGCAGUCUACUUUAUUUCUUUUCAAUUUUUUUUUAGAGAUGGAGUCUUGCUAUGUUGCCCAGGGUGAUCUUGAACUCCUGGCCUCACAUGAUCCUCCUGCCUCAACCUCCCAAAGUGUUGGGAUUACAGGCAUGAACCACCAUGCCUAGCUCAGUCUACUUUUUUUAAAAGAGGAAUGAGAUCAAGAUCACAUUUCAAAAAAUAUGUUGUCUCCUAAAGUAAGUAAUAUUUCUACCUGGAAGCUCUUCCUUCAAGUCUAAAGUCAAAGGGAAAGACAAUAAUUUCUUCUAGGCUUUUGAGGUGAUGAUCAUGGGGUUUGCUUAGAUGUCAGAUCCACGAGUCACCCUAAAGCCUGAAGAGACAGAGUAGAUGGGAGCUGGUGUUGGGUGAACACUGGACUGGUCCCAGGGCUGCGGUUCUUGAUCAGUGUAAUGCAGGAAGGAGUCGCCAAUGUGGCCACGCUCCUGGUAGGGGUUCUUUGUAGGUACUAGAGGCUCAGUAGCUGUCCUGAGUCAAAAGACCAAAGAAAAAGGGAAGCCUCAAGGAGAGAUGAGAGGACAGCAGAUGAAAAUGAGCCUGCAGGAAACCAAGCUCUGAGGAGAAAUGGGCAGGCAGCCAAGAGCAGGGCAGAAACUGCAGCAGUAGCAGCGGCAGCAAUGAAGUCUCCAAGUUAUGAGUGGCAGGCUCUGAGAACAAUGAUGGAGCAGGAAGUUAAUGCAGAGGGCAGGCAGAGAGCCCCUGAGACGAUAAGCAAGAUGAGUGGAGAAAACCGACAGGACUUAGACCUGGGCAUGGGCAGCAGAGGACCUUAUCCCAGCAGCAGAGGGACUGGCAGUUAAUGACGAUGCUCGAACAUCUGCUAUACGUUGGGAAUUUUGCACGCAUUUAAUAUUUUGCAUGCAGAUAAUAUUAUUCCCAUUUUAUGAAUGAAUGAGCCCAGACUUAAAGUGCUGGAGGGAUUUAAUAUUCUCCUGGAUCUAUCUGCCUUGCUGGCUACUCCUUCAGGCUUCCUUUUGAGUUCAUUCUUCUCUUACCACGUCUGUAAAUGUUAGAAUUUUUUAAGGAAUGUUACACAGUUGAGUCGUCUUCUCUUCUCACCCCCUACUUACUCAGCACAGUAUAAACCACUCUCUGGGAACUCCAGAAUUUUGUCUCUAUCUGGAAUCUCCCCUAGGAAUGGCAAAAUUAACCUAAAGAAUGUACAAGGAAGGAAAAAAUAGACAUAAACCUAGGUAUUUUUAUUUUGUUAAUUAGAAAAGUAGAAAGAACAGAUAAUGAUUCCAAGAGUUGCUUUUCAUUUAACCAAUAAAAUAACAAACCCUUAACUGACCCAAUAAAGAAAAUGGGAGCAGUCACAAAAUUAGGAAUGAGAAAAUAUUUCAAGAGACCACUCUGCUCAAUGCUAUGUUGAAACUUUUGAAAACCUAAAUACCAAUUAAAUUUUUCCAGUAAAAUAUUUAUGACCAAGGUUUACUCUACAAGAGAGUCUACUACUAGAGUUGCCAGAAUUAGUAUACAGAAAUUUGAAUUUUAGAUAAAUAAUUUUUUAGUAUGUCUUACGCAACAGUUAGGACAUACUUUUACUAAAAAAAAAAAAAAGUCAUUGGUUGUUAUUCUGAAAUUCAAAUUUAAUUGGAAAUCCUGCAUUUUAACUGGCCGAUCUAUUAAAACAGAUAAAUUAUUGUGGAGAAACAAUAGGAACUUGUCAAAAGCUUUAAAAACAUCAAGAUCAGAAGUUUCAGGUAAAGCGUAUGAAUUAAAUUCAAGCAAUAUUUUCAACUCUAUUUAAAUGAUUCCAAAGCAUAAAAAAACAGCUUCUAAGACAUUUUUAUAAAGCUACAAAGACUGAAGUCAAACCUGACAAGGAGAGUUAAAAAAUGUGGGCAAAACAGUGGUGAAUAUUCAUGAUAAAAUCUUACUGUGAUAUUCACAAACAUGGGGGAAUGAUAUUUUCUUUAAAAUCGACAGACUUUUUAGAGAAAAAAGGCAGUUGAAGAAAUUAUCAACAGUGAUUUUACCAAGUUCUUUGUAUUUUUUCUCAGUCUUAACAUGCCUAUAUAUAUUAUGUACAUAAUUCUUAGCUGUAAGUCAUUUUUAUAAUAGAUGCUAUUUUCUGCAAGCCUCUCAAAUUAAAACCCAUUGUUCUGAAAGUACUAAUCAAUGCAAUUACAUAAGGGAAAAAAUGAGACAUAAAUACUUCAACCACGGAGGCAAAAUUAUUACUGUUUUCAAACAAUGUAGUUAUUUACCUAGAAACUGCAAAAGAAUCAAUUGGAGGAAUUCUGUUACCAGCAGAAGAUAGUUCAGUUAGGUGGAUUGGUUUCACAAUGAAUAUCCACAUUCAGUGGCAUUUCAGUAAACAAAUAGUAUUCAGCUAUAAAAUAUAAUGGAGCAAAUUAUCUCAUUUAUAAUAGCAUAAAAAAGAUAAUGUGCCUAGACAUAAAUUUAAUUAAAAAUAUAGGCUAGGUAUGUUGGCUCAUGCCCAUAAUCUCAAGACUUUGGAGGGCUGGAGGAUCCCUUGAACCCAAGAGUUUGAGACCGUGAGACCCCAACUCUACAAAAAAAUAAAAUUAGCUCGGCAUGGUGUGCAUGCCUGUCAUCUCAGCUAUUGUGGAGUCUGAGGCAGGAGGAUUGUUUGAGCCCAGGAGUUUGAGGCUGUAGAGAUCUGAUUGUGCCACUGCACUCCAGCCUGGGUGACAGAGUGAGACCCUAUCUCUAAAAAUAAAUGGGGGGCUAUUAAAUAAAACAACAACGUGUAACACUUCUUGAAGGACAAAAAAAAAAUAAAAAUAAAUAAGUAGAAAGACCUGUCAAAGACCUAUCAUAUUCUUGGGUAGGAAGAUUCAAUACUGUAAAUGCAUAAGUUUACCCUAAAUUAAAUCCAUAGAUCCAAUUUAAUCCUCAUCAAAAUGCCAACAGGCACUUUUAUAUCUUGAUAAAGUAUUAAAGUUACUUGGAAACAUAAGUUUGAGGAAACUCCAUAGACUCCCGUAUGCAAUAAUCCAUUAAUAACCCAGUAAUAUUGGGGAGGAUACACAAGAAGCUGUUUAUAAUAUUCACCUCUUAGCAGUGGAAGUGAGGGGUAAAGACUUGAGCCAAAGAUGUAUUUUCAUGUUAUACUCAUCUAUGCUAUUUGAAUUUUUCCACAGGUGCAAAUAUUACUUAUAUGAUUAAAAAUAGUUAUUUUAAAAGAACAUUUCCAUUAUAUUGAGUACUGAUUUGUAACCCUCUCUGCUCAUUAGAAUCAUAUAGGGAGCUUUGGAAAGACACCAGGUCUCAGCACUUGCCUCCAGAUUCUAAUUCAAUUUGGCUGUGUUAGGGCCCAGGCAAUGGCAUUUUUUACAAAAGUUCUCACUGAUUCUGAUGUGGAGCCAGGGCCGAGAGCCACCACUGUCAAGUAACCCAUGGCAGCAUUUUCCAACUUUUGGUCACAACCCUUCGGUUAGGAAAUCAACUUAAUGGCUUGGGACCAGAGUUAAAAACAAACAAACAACAACAACUGAAACCAACUCAAUUGAGCAGAAACUUGUGCAUGCCUGUUGUGUUUAAGACAUGUCUCUUUCUGGGGGAUGUCAUCCAAAACAUUGGAAAACCCCUACCUUAAGUGGUUCAGAUCUUUCAGACUUUCUGAGACAUUUUAUCAGAAUUUGUGUGAACUAUUAAAGGCUUUUUACUGUUUAAAAGUUAUAUUGUAAUUCUGACUUUUGUUCACGUAUUUGAUGAUUCAAUUAUUUAUUCAUUACAUAGUCAAAGGUAGAAAAUUACAUGUAAUUACUUGUGCUUAUCUGAUAAGCAUAGUGACUGAUGUAUGUAAAUGCUCAAUAUGUGAUGG